UUUUUCUUUUCUUUCUUUUUUUCUUGUUGAAGUGUUAUGACUGCCAAGUCAUUUGUCGUUGAAGAACAACUAACAUAACUUUUGGAUUUGCAUGGUUCUUUCCACAAUUCAAGACAUGUCCAAAGAAUAUUAUGUGGUUGAUCCCCAGAUGGGAUGUAUUUCUCUUGUAAUUCAAGUGUGUAGUCAGAUUAACUGAACAUUUCCCUUCCCCGGGUUAAGCG
rnacentral:lncRNA from 1 species